GACCGAGUGCGCGAGCGGACAUGACGUGUGGCUGUCGUAAAAACCCUAUUUGUAAACAACCAGCCCUUUAACUCGGGGCUGCGUCAUAAACACGGCGCGCUUGGAAGACCACGAUGUCAUCUUCCUUCUGUCAGGAGGAUCCAAGUGAAGCUACAGGAGUUUCAUUAACGUCAACAACUUGGACCAAACAGUUUGUUUUGCUUGAUGAAGAGCAGGAAGGGCAGCCUGGAGAGAAAGAGAAGCCGGGUUGAGCCCACUACCAUCAUCCACGUACCACGAGGAAGAUGAGGGAGAGAAAUGAUCCUACCAUUAAAGAGACUGUGAAAAGAACGUUGAGAACAUCACCACUCUACAGGAAGACACAGUCCAGUAAUGGGUGUCAGAAGUUCAGUAGUGAACGACAGGUACUGUGGAAAAAUAUGUGUCAUUGUUGUACAAUGUCCUUUGACUCUGUUUAAACAAGGUUAACACAAAAAGGUUUGAUUGUAAACUGAUAUCGGUAUGAAUUCAUGUUAUUCUCCUCGUCAAAAGAAACAAACAAUCCAAAUUACCUGCAGAAAGCCCUUGAUGGACGCUUCAGCUGCAUCGUCAGACUGGCAGUACUGAUGCAUUUACUGAGAGGGGACGUGAGGGCCUACUCUGCGUGCUCAGAGUUCAAGCCCAGCAGGCUGCAGCGGGCCUGACAUAUUCUGGAACAGCAGCACAGUCUUUGGAUGACUCCUCUGAAGAUGAAAACAUGGCGAGUUCUUCUCAAGAGAAGCAGUACAGGUGUGCCUCAGCUCCACGGUCCCUCCUGCAGCCUCCGCUCCUGAUGCUAACCUCAUGUCUCCAUCACACCAAGCAGCAGACCUGGAUUGACAGACCUUUCUCCAGAGCUGCCCCCUCCCUCUGAAA